AUUACGGUCUGGAGAAGCUGAAGCUGAAAAGAACUCGCCGUUCAGCUUACCCCAGAAUUCGCCAGAAUCCCCACCGAACCCCAACUCGCAUUAUCAUCUCUGCCCGCCCGUGUUGGCCCCUCCCUGUUAGGUUUUCCCCCACCUCACCGAAGGGCGCCGCCGGCUAUCUGCUCCGACUCCGCCGCGCCCCUGGACGCCGGACCUCCACGUCCCUUGCCGCCGUCCCGUCCCUCCCGUCCUGCGCCCGACUCUGCCGCAUCCUCGCCGCGAGGCGGCGCCGGUACAUCCUCAAGCUGCUAAGUUUCGGUUUGCUGCAAUGGCAGAGGAGGAGAAAAUGACAGAGGUGUUUGAUGUUGGUUGUGUCACAAAUGAGCAUGCAAGGGUUCCAACUCCCACAUAUCAAGGUGGCCCGGCUCAAGUCGAUUCGGAAGAUGAUUCUGGCUGUGAAUGUGAGCACGUCCAAGUUACACCUCUCCCGAAUCGUGUAAAGAGUAGGAAGAAGAGGGCAUGUCCUUAUUCGCGUAUGGUGGCAAGUGAGAUUGCUAAAAACAAGGCACUUGUGCGUUUGGUGGAAAUUUUUGAGGCGAGGGAAAAGAGAGUGACAAAUCAAAGUGCAAAAGAGAUUGUGGAUCCAACAAGACAGGAGAUUCAAGACGUGAUGGCCAUGGUGAUUGCAGACGGAGCCAAACCUGGGAGUGAUGAGCAUUUCUAUGCUUCACAUCUUUUGUUGGAAAAGAAGAAUCGUGAUGUUUUUACCUCGUUUAAGGGUCACAAACCUAGUGAGAGGCUUGCAUGGAUAAGGAGGAUGUGGGAGCUCAACAAUAAGUAGAAUCUCUAUGUUUUAAAUGCUUUGAAGUUUGAACAAAACUAUUUGCUUUUAACUUGUACUGCUGUGAACUAUCUUAUUUGAUUCGAACAUCGCUUUGCUGCUCA